AAAAAAAGUGCUAUCAUGAGCUAUGCUGCCUUUGUUUGUACAUGUAUUCAUGUCCAGUUAUUUACUAAUCAGUAUCUCUCAACUAUCUCAACUAAUAAUUUCCCCCAGGGAUCAAUAAAGUAUUCUGAUUCUGAUUCUGAUUCUGAUUCUAUCCCCUACCCCCAAAUAAUGUUUAUUAUUAUAAUAUUUGGAAUAAAAUUCCAGCUGUAAUAAAAAAAAUGUACUAGCUAUAGUAACCAUGUGCACAUAAUAUAGUAUUUUGGCUUUUUUUCUGUCUUUUUUUCUACUUCUAUUUUUUAAUAUAUCUCUAAUUGACCUUUUCUUCUUGUGCUGCUGUAACAAGUGAAUUGGCUAAAGAGGAAUCCGAUCUGUUACCAUUAAUUUUAUGUGUCAUCUUUGAUGCUGUAUGUUUUUAUAUUUAUUUGUUGUUAUGUGUUUUCUUCUUGUACUGUGAAUUUUCAUGUUGUAAUUUUACAUAUUGCUGUCUGAACCAUACUGCUGUACACUGUCUGAUGUUGUGUUAACUUUCCUAUUUUUUUUAUUUUUUUUUUGCUCUGACCUGGCAGGUGAAAAGUGACAUGUUGUUCAUUAAUAUGCACUGUUCCCUUUAAAUAAAUCAAUUGAAUUAAAAUGUAUAUACAAAAUACAACACCCUUAAUGUAAGGUUUCCUCUUCUUUCCGCUUCUUUUUAAAAUGUUUUACUCAACUAUUGCAACCAAACUGGGCUCAUCUUCAAAUCUCUUCUCAUCUCUUACUCAAUUUUAGUUCCACAAAAACUACAUUGGGUGUCUGGAGAAGUCACGAAACUCACAGGUAGCAUUUAAAUCUCUUUUCAUCUGUGUCUGACCUCACGUGAGAUGAUCUUUAAGGGCAGCAGCAGAGUUUUGGCUCCAGACUGUAAAACCAUUUGGGGAAUCUUAUGAGUCAAAGUGAUGCAAAGAAGCUCUGAGUAUCGUGACUAGACGGCGAACAACGUGCUUUAACGUGGGUGAACUCAAAACCAAAUGUGCUAAAUUAUGCCAGCUGGAAAACACGACUCCUUUUCAGCACAUUUUAUUACAUUUUAAUCACAUCUAGGUGAUAGACUUCUCUAGUGGAUUGAAAAAAAAAAGAAGAAAACUUUCAUUUUCUACCUGAAUGUGAAACUGGUGGGGAUUUCUGUCGCAUAAAUGAGCCAAACCGAUGUUAAACAGCGGCUUUCUCUGAACCACAGAAAUGGGGACCUGAUAGUACUGACAAGCCACUUUGCUCUGUCGUAUAUUACACAACCCAUUAAGAAAGAAAGUCGAGGGACAAUAAGAGAAAAAGCAUAUGAAUAAAAAAAGAAGCACGAGCUCUUAAGAACGCACAGAAAGGAAGUCAAGACCCUUUUCCUGAUGCACCACAGAACUGUGGGUAAGCUUAAAGACGGUAAACAAGGCACACACGUCUGAACAUCACGUGAUCAAACUACAUGUGUUUAUAUGAUGACUGUAAAAGUUUCCUGUCUAAACUUUGUUGGUGUUUUUUUUUUAAUUUUUUUAUUGUGCCAUGUGUUGGACUGCCUGAUUAACGGCUAUGCUUUCAGUUUUAUCGAAACUGUAACUCUAAUGUUUUCUUAAUUUGAGUUUAAUCUUGAGUUGCCAUCAGAUUCGAGAUGAAUAGCGCAUUUACGAGAUUCAGCUCUGCAGCUUGUUUACUGUCGAGGGGUUUUUCUGGCUCGUAGUUGAAAAAUAGUUCCGUUCGGGGCAAAGGGUGGGAAGCAUUCAUGCUUUCAGUCUGCCGAUCUGGCCAAACAGUUUCUCUUCUGCACAAUCACUUCCUGUUUUUUUUUUGUUGUUUUUUGGGGUUUUUUUACCAGCUGGUCUGAGGUGAACUCACAAACACAUAUUUGUGUGUGUUCUCUAAAUACUGAUCAGAAUCUUGUAGCUCUUGAGUGCUCAAGACAGUAGCCUCUCAUUAAACAGGAAGCUAACGUAUCUAGCAGCACUAGACCACAACUCAGAAAUAUCAACACCUGCA
ensembl:lncRNA